rnacentral:lncRNA from 1 species
AAAGGGGAUGCUGUAGGGUCCUGAAAGGUGCAGCGUCCCCAGGGCCAUAGGGCGCUGCCGUGGGGUCCCCAGGGAGAUGAGGUUCCCAUGGGUGCUGCCAUGGGGUCCCUGGGGGGCUGGGUUCCCAUAGGGCGCUGCCAUGGGGUCCCCAGGGAGGUCAGGUUCCUAUAGGUCCCACCAUAGGGUCCCCAGGGGGCUGGGUUCCUAUGGGUGCUGCCAUGGGGUCCCCGGAGAGGUCAGGUUCCUACAGGUGCUGCCAUAGGGUCCUGAAAGGUGCAGUGUCCCCAGGCCCAUAGGGUGCUGCCAUGGGGUCCCAAGAUGGGGAGGAACUCAUGGGGAGAUGAGGAUCCUAUGGGUGCUGCCAUGGGGUCCCCAGGGGGCUGGGUUCCCAUAGGGCGCUGCCAUGGGGUCCCAAGGGAGGUCAGGUUGCUAUGGGUGCUGCCACGGGGUCCCUGCAGAGGCGAUGUCCCCAGGCCAUAGGGCACUGCUAUGGGGUCCCCAGGGAGCUCAUGUUCCCAUAGGUGCUGCCAUGGGGUCCCCAAAGGGGCUGGGUUCCCAUAGGGCACUGCCAUGGGGUCCCCAGAGAGGUCAGGUUCCUAUGGGUGCUGCCAUGGGGUCCGCAGGGGGCUGGGUUCCUAUAGGUGCUGCCAUGGGGUCCCCAAAGAGGCUGGGUUCCCAUAGGGUGCUGCCAUGGGGUCCCAGUGGGUGCAGUGUCUCUAGAGGUGCUGCCAUGGGGUCCCCAAAGGGGCUGGGUUCCCAUAGGGCGCUGCCAUGGGGUCCCCAGGGAGAUGAGGUUCCUAUGGGUGCUGCCAUGGGGUCCCCAAAGGGGCUGAGUUCCCAUAGGGGCUGCCAUAAGGUCCUGAAAGGUGCAAUGUCACCAGGCCCAUAGGGUGCUGCCAUGGGGUCCCCAGGGGGCUGGCUUCCUAUGGGUGCUGCCAUGGGGUCCCCAUUGGUGCGAUGUCCCCAGGCCCAUAGGCCACUGCCAUGGGGUCCCCAGGGAGGUCAGGUUCCCAUGGGUGCUGCCAUGGGGUCCUCAGGGAGAUGAGGUUCCUCUGGGUGCUGCCACGGGGUCCCCGCAGGGGCGAUGUCCCCAGGCCCAUAGGGCGCUGCCGUGGGGUCCCCAUCGGUGUGGGUCCUCACGGCGCCGUGUCCCCCCCCUUUCCCCCCCCCGUGCCCGCAGUACGUGACGCUCAGCGUGGUGCUCAGCCUGCUGGCCGCCGCCGCCUUCCUGCAGCUGAGCAGCGCGGGGAAGCUGCUGCUGGGGGCGGCGCUGGGGGGCGCGUACCUGGCGCUGGCCGAGGGUCCCCACGCCGCCCUCUUCGACAACGCCGACCUCCUGCUGCUGGCACACGC